CACCAGAUGGACAUUCCAGAAAUAAACACAUAUUUUGGUUCUGGAUAAAGUUCUUGGGAAAGGCCAAGGAAGAUAGAAUAUUGGAAAAGAGACAAUGGAGUUUGAGCCAUACAAUAAAUGUUACCAUGUGGAAUGUGAACCACCUGACUAAAUCAGAUGCCUCUAGAGAGGAAAAAAAGGAAACAGCAAAUACCUUUAUAUCCCUUGGAGCCAUCAAAGGAAGCCUGCAACGCAUGGCAUCAGAUCCUCUCAGGUUUAAUAUCUGAUGUGUUUGCAUCUCUGAUGUGGAGAAAGAUUUCUAAGAGGUCUAACAAUGGGUUAGAUCAUUCCUCUACCUGCAACAAACCUGCACAGGGAACAGGGAACUUCCUUGAGGAGUUUUCUCUGGACCAUUCAAUCAGAGAGGUCUCCCAGCAGUUCUUUCUCAUCCUUGGCAGCACAGCUCCAGUGGAGUUAUGAUGACAGGGCUUCCAGCACAGGGUGACCAGACAGCAAGUAUGAAAAAAUGGGACAGGGGGCUGGGGGUAAUAGGCACCUAUAUAAGACAAAACCCUAUAAAAUUGGGACAUAGUCACUCUAUUCCAACUGCUAGCCACUACCCCAAAACAUUGCCAUGUCAUGGAGGGGCUCCACACAAAGGUUAAUACAGCCAGUGGCUGAAUUUACUUCUGAGCAGCUUCCCAGACUGUAUCCAGAGGGGAAAACACACUAGUUCUCCCAAGUCCAUGCAUGUUUUUCCUCCCCAAGCCACUCUCCAGAGCUAGAUCCCUGACCUUUCAGAGCAUGCCAGAGAUGGUAGGUGGGGGGAAUAUUGCCAGAGUCCUUUCCCCACACAAUAGAGUGUCCCCUCCACACACAGAUCAUGAGGGAAGAUGAUCUAGGCCAAUCUUACUAUUGCUAACUAUAGCUUUUCUGGUCUUGUAUGUUGUGAAGAAAAAACUAACUGUAACUUUAGAGAUAUCACAUGUGCCUAUUUUGUGGGAUUUUUUUAUUUAUUUAUACAAUUGUGAUGAAGCUGAGAAACCUCACACCAGCACGAAAAGGCUAAAGAGAGUCUAUGGGCCCAGCUGGCCCUGCCCUGCUAUACCUGCAGCCAAUGCCAGGCCUGGGAGGAGAAGACAAGGAGAGAACCUGGCCCAGUUCAGGGCUGACUGGUGAAGAGGCAGAAGCAAGCUGCUUCUUUACAUGACGGGAGCAUCACUAGGAGCCUGACAGCCACCAGGGAAGAAGCACUGCAUCUCUGAUCAAG
rnacentral:lncRNA from 1 species